rnacentral:rRNA from 2 species
AGUCGAACGAACUCUGGUAUUGAUUGGUGCUUGCAUCAUGAUUUACAUUUGAGUGAGUGGCGAACUGGUGAGUAACACGUGGGAAACCUGCCCAGAAGCGGGGGAUAACACCUGGAAACAGAUGCUAAUACCGCAUAACAACUUGGACCGCAUGGUCCGAGUUUGAAAGAUGGCUUCGGCUAUCACUUUUGGAUGGUCCCGCGGCGUAUUAGCUAGAUGGUGAGGUAACGGCUCACCAUGGCAAUGAUACGUAGCCGACCUGAGAGGGUAAUCGGCCACAUUGGGACUGAGACACGGCCCAAACUCCUACGGGAGGCAGCAGUAGGGAAUCUUCCACAAUGGACGAAAGUCUGAUGGAGCAACGCCGCGUGAGUGAAGAAGGGUUUCGGCUCGUAAAACUCUGUUGUUAAAGAAGAACAUAUCUGAGAGUAACUGUUCAGGUAUUGACGGUAUUUAACCAGAAAGCCACGGCUAACUACGUGCCAGCAGCCGCGGUAAUACGUAGGUGGCAAGCGUUGUCCGGAUUUAUUGGGCGUAAAGCGAGCGCAGGCGGUUUUUUAAGUCUGAUGUGAAAGCCUUCGGCUCAACCGAAGAAGUGCAUCGGAAACUGGGAAACUUGAGUGCAGAAGAGGACAGUGGAACUCCAUGUGUAGCGGUGAAAUGCGUAGAUAUAUGGAAGAACACCAGUGGCGAAGGCGGCUGUCUGGUCUGUAACUGACGCUGAGGCUCGAAAGUAUGGGUAGCAAACAGGAUUAGAUACCCUGGUAGUCCAUACCGUAAACGAUGAAUGCUAAGUGUUGGAGGGUUUCCGCCCUUCAGUGCUGCAGCUAACGCAUUAAGCAUUCCGCCUGGGGAGUACGGCCGCAAGGCUGAAACUCAAAGGAAUUGACGGGGGCCCGCACAAGCGGUGGAGCAUGUGGUUUAAUUCGAAGCUACGCGAAGAACCUUACCAGGUCUUGACAUACUAUGCAAAUCUAAGAGAUUAGACGUUCCCUUCGGGGACAUGGAUACAGGUGGUGCAUGGUUGUCGUCAGCUCGUGUCGUGAGAUGUUGGGUUAAGUCCCGCAACGAGCGCAACCCUUAUUAUCAGUUGCCAGCAUUAAGUUGGGCACUCUGGUGAGACUGCCGGUGACAAACCGGAGGAAGGUGGGGAUGACGUCAAAUCAUCAUGCCCCUUAUGACCUGGGCUACACACGUGCUACAAUGGAUGGUACAACGAGUUGCGAACUCGCGAGAGUAAGCUAAUCUCUUAAAGCCAUUCUCAGUUCGGAUUGUAGGCUGCAACUCGCCUACAUGAAGUCGGAAUCGCUAGUAAUCGCGGAUCAGCAUGCCGCGGUGAAUACGUUCCCGGGCCUUGUACACACCGCCCGUCACACCAUGAGAGUUUGUAACACCCAAAGUCGGUGGGGUAACCUUUUAGGAACCAGCCGCCUAA